UGUGCUCCGUUCUAGAUGAGGUUGCUGGGAAGGCUUCUCCAUCAGCUUGGAUGAAGAAAGUUUUGAAGCCCUUGGAGCCUCCUGCAGAUAUGUCUCCAGGGAGGACUUCUCCAGCUCCUACCUUGGAUGCUGCACCCAAGCCCAGCUCCCAUGGCAGGGGUCCUCCACCAGAAGAGACCAAAGGCAUGGCAGACAAGAAAUUCCAGAACCCAUUUGAAAUCAUGUGGCAAAUGCUGAAGGAAAUGCUGCAGAGAAGACAAG